rnacentral:rRNA from 1 species
AACGCGAAGAACCUUACCAGCCUUUGACAUGGCAGGACGAUUUCCAGAGAUGGAUCUCUUCCAGCAAUGGACCUGCACACAGGUGCUGCAUGGCUGUCGUCAGCUCGUGUCGUGAGAUGUUGGGUUAAGUCCCGCAACGAGCGCAACCCUCGCCCUUAGUUGCCAUCAUUCAGUUGGGCACUCUAAGGGGACUGCCGGUGAUAAGCCGAGAGGAAGGUGGGGAUGACGUCAAGUCCUCAUGGCCCUUACGGGCUGGGCUACACACGUGCUACAAUGGCGGUGACAGUGGGAUGCCAGCCUGCGAGGGUGAGCAAAUCUCCAAAAGCCGUCUCAGUUCGGAUUGCACUCUGCAACUCGAGUGCAUGAAGUUGGAAUCGCUAGUAAUCGUGGAUCACCAUGCCACGGUGAAUACGUUCCCGGGUCUUGUACACACCG